rnacentral:hammerhead_ribozyme from 1 species
GCACUGCGGACGAGUCCUAAAUAGGACGAAACAACUGUCCAGUGC